rnacentral:lncRNA from 1 species
CCCACAUUGUAUAUAUAUUUUAUUUCAGAGUAGAUAGAUGGGAGGGAGCAUUUACAAUUCAUGUAAGUACUCAUUUUAGAGAUAAGAAAACAGAUCUAAAGAAUGAUAAUCAAUGUGUUGCACCUUCUUCAGUAUAGUAGUCCCUUAGUAUACAUGGGGAAUUGGUUCCAGGACCCCCACAUGUACCCCAAAUCUGCAGACACUCAAGUCCCACAGUCAGCCCUGCAGAACCUGAGUACGUGAAAAGUCAACCCUCCUUAUACAUGAGUUUACCAUCCCACCAAUACUGUAUUUUCCAUCCAUCUUUGGUUGAAAAAAGUCCACAUAAGUAGACCCCUGCAGUUCCAACUCCCGUUGUGCAAGAAUCAACUGUAAAAUGUUAUUGGAGAACAACAUGCCCAUUUCUUUAUGUAUUGUCUGUAACUGCUUACAUGCUACAAAGGCAGAAUUGUAGUAGUUUCAACAUAGACUGUAUAGCCUGCAAAGCCAAAAAUAUUUACUGUGUGGCCCAUUCAGAAAAAGCUUUUAAAUCCCUGCUCUAGAACUCAAGUCUCCCAAUUCUAUGAUGAAUUUACUUCAUUUCACCCAGUACUUACAGCACCUGCUGUGAGCUGGGCCUUCCAAAUGGGUAAGACAGCCCCAGUACCUACACUCCUCCAGGAGUAGCUCCAGCUCCACUGGUAUUCUUUCUACUAUGCCACUAUCCUUCUCAGUUAACAGCGGGAAGUGGAAAACUCGAAGUUCAUUUAUUUAGCAAAUAGUAUUAAGCACUGCUAUAUCCCAGGCACUGUUCCAGGCUUUGGGAAUCCAUCAGUAAGCCAUAAACAUAUAAAUCCCUGUCUUGGCUAGGCACGGUGCCUCAUGCCUGUAAUCCCAGCACUUUGGGAGGUCGAGGUGGGUGGAUCACCUGAGGUAAGGAGUUCGAGACCAGCCUGAUCAAUAUAGUGAAACCCUGUCUCUACUAAAAAUACAAAAACUAGCCAGAUGUGGUGCGUGGUGCACACCUGUAAUCCCAGCUACCUAGGAGGCUGAGGCAGGAGAAUUGCUUGAACCUGGGCGGCAGAGGUUGUAGUGAGCUGAGAUAGCACCAUUGCACUCCAGCCAAGGCAACAAGAGCAAAACUUCGUCUCAAAAAAAAAAAGAAGAAGAAAAAAAUAAAAUAAAUCCCUGUCUUCAUGGACUAUCCAUUCCAGUGAGAAGAGGUGGACAUAGACAGUAUUUUUAAUUUCUAUCCCUUAGAUAAAGAACUGCCCAAGGUGAAAGCUAAUGAGGACAGAGCUGGAAUUAGAGCCCAGGGCUAACUGACUAACAUAGAGGUGUUUCCAAAAGAUGAUUUUGCCUCUGUACAGAAGAGCAUGUUGUUUUCUUGGAUCUUUCUCCUUCAAUUCAAAAUCUUGAUCUGUCAGGAGAGCUGGGCCAACCCAUCAGGUUGCAGGCAGGUGUCCAUGGUGAUGAAGGGAUGGAAAAACUCACUCCUGACCUCCCUCUCAGGUUUUGGCCUCUCAGGCACCAAAUUCCUAAGCACAGAACUGGGAAGUAAGAUCCUCGGCGGCCCUUCCUACGGGACAGUCCUGCAGGUCCAUCAGAGUAUUUGAUUGUUUAAACGAACAUCUGUCUGGGGCAGAAACUGCAAAUAGGAUAGGAGAAGUUUGUUUGAAUUUCCCUUUGGGACCUCAAAGCAGCAGGUGGAGAGAAGGAACUUUUAAAAUUUCCAUGUCAGCAGUGAGGAAAAGUGGAAGGAAGGAAGAGAAAAACAAAAGGAGGUCUCACAAAAGCAUGUCAGAGUCAAAAUCAGAAAUAGAUGUGAGAGUCUCUGGAAUCAUGUCCUUAGUUCUGGCUUCAAACAGAGACCCUUCCUCUCUCUGCAGACCACUCUCCAGGAAAGUCAGCAUAAUAGGGUAGGUACAUAUAAACAUUUUACUCCAUAAGAAUUCUUCUGUCAAAAAGACUUUCAUCUUUGCAUUUUGAUUUUAGGGUUAAGAAGUCUGAUGCUUUAUUAAACUGGAAAACUCACCUGCCCAAAACCAUUGCUUUCUUCAAUGGUUCUGCACUACUGAAAUCACUCAGUACUUUCUGACAAACAACUUAAAAUGAACCCAUCCUAUACUACUGUCUGACCUUUAAAGAAUGUGUAGAAA